UUUCAUGAUGAAACAACACUUUUUAUUACUUAUUUCUGGUACCUCUUAUGUCAGAAGCACGUCUCCGGAUGUGUCUUCGAUGAUCUAACUGGACUUCUGAAC
rnacentral:snoRNA from 1 species